ensembl:lncRNA
GCAAGCUGCCGGCUCGGGGGGCCGGGCGGGGGCUCCAGGCCGCUUCUGUGAGCCAGGCCGCCUCUGUGAGCCAGGCCUCGGGCGCGCUGACGACUGCGCCCCUUCCGCGUCAGAGCGGCCCGUAGGCCCCGUGGGCGCUGCCCGCGCUGCCUCUGCCCUGAGUCUAAGCAGUGCUGAGAUUAGGGCGGUCAGGGAGUAAAGGACACAGUUAACUUUAGACAGGCGUACACAGCACACACAGACCGCCAUCUUGAAAGGAACAAAACUGGUUGAAGCGACGUAAUCUGAAUCCGAAUCCUCUGUUUUUGAUCGUCACCUUUAUUCUCUUCACUCAUAUUUUUCACCGUUGUUUUUGAGAGUCCCCUUUGUGGUCCUUUCACUCUACUAGGGGACGUGGAGGCAGAACACGGGUGAAUAGGACAAUUCCUGUCAUUACCCGGCUCACAAUCUGGCGGGCCAUGGGCCAUGUGUGCCACGUGUUGGAAUAGAUUAAAGUUGGGAGCAUAGUGCAAAGAAUGCCUGAAUUGACUCUUAGGCUUGGAAUGUCAGCUGUUUUCUAAGCAGCUUAUGCUUGGAUUGUUGCGGCUGGCUGGGGGAGGAAGGCGAGAAGAGAUGGUUCAAAGGGAAGAGAAACCUUGCCUAGGAUGAGUUACACACAGUGAACAGCAGGGGACACAAAAUUGAGAAGUUAUUCUCUACAUAGCAAUGCACAAUGAAAUCUCAUGUUGUAGUGGAAAGCAGAUGAAUUUUGGAGGCAGACAGACUGUUUGAUUUCACCUUGCUCCAUCACGUCAUAUUAAAAUGUAGAGACAUUACUUUGCCAACAAAGGUCCAUCUAGUCAAGGCUAUGGUUUUUCCAGUGGUCAUGUAUGGAUGUGAGAGUUGGACUAUCAAGAAAGCUGAGCACCGAAGAACUGAUGCUUUUGAACUGUGGUAUUGGAGAAGACUCUUGAGAGUCCCUUGGACUGCAAGGAGAUCCAACCAGUCCAUCCUAAAGGAGAUCAGUCCUGGGUAUUCAUGGGGAGGACUGAUGUUGAGGCUGAAACUUCAAUACUUUGGCCACCUGAUGUGAAGAGCUGACUCAUUUGUAAAGACCUGAUGCUGGGAAGGAUUGAAGGUGGGAGGAGAAGGAGAUGACAGAGGAUGAGAUGGUUGGAUGGCAUCACCGACUCAAUAAUGCUCCAAUGAGCAUCUUUGGUGAUGGACAACGAGGCCUGGUGUGCUGCUGUUCAUGGAGUCACAGAGAGUUGGACAUGACUGAGUGACUGAACUGAAGUGAAUCAUGCCUUUAGUCC